CGGAGGGUGCAAGCGUUAUCCGGAUUUACUGGGUUUAAAGGGUGCGUAGGCGGAUAAGUAAGUCCGUGGUGAAAUCCUGCAGCUUAACUGCAGAACUGCCGUGGAUACUAUUUGUCUUGAAUAUCGUGGAGGUUAGCGGAAUAUGUCAUGUAGCGGUGAAAUGCUUAGAUAUGACAUAGAACACCCAUUGCGAAGGCAGCUAACUACGCGAUUAUUGACGCUGAUGCACGAAAGCGUGGGGAUCAAACAGGAUUAGAUACCCUGGUAGUCCACGCCCUAAACGAUGAUUACUCGACAUUGGCGAUACACUGUCAGUGUCUGAGCGAAAGCAUUAAGUAAUCCACCUGGGAAGUACGAUCGCAAGAUUG
rnacentral:rRNA from 1 species